AUCUCUCAGCUUUCCAACUGCAGAAUUUCACACCCACUCCACAACUAAAACUUGAGUGGUUCUAGAGACUGAAACCCAGUCACUCAGCAUCAUCCUAACACCCAAAAUCUUUCUGCUAUCUUUGUAAUUAAAUCUUAGCUUUUAAAACUAUAUUUUAAAUUAAGAUUAAAGAUUACAUCUCUUGUGUGGAGUGAUUUUACUCUGUAUAUCUGCUGGAGCUAUGAGGAUGCCUGCUUGUGUUUCUCCAGGCCUUGUCUUGCAGCACUGUCCUUUUGGCAGAGAUGAAAUGGAUGGGACUCCCUAGAGAACUGAAUUUUCCUCCUGAGUUAACUGGAGGGGUUGCUGUUGAAUAUUGUAAGGCAGAGUGUCUCACCGCAAUAUCAUGGAUUUAAACUGAGCAUUCCAGAAUGUAAACCAACAAGCUGAAGAAUUGUACUGUCAUGCUGGUCUUUUAUUAAGCACAAUUUCUUUUUGCAAAUGUUUGAUGCCCAAGAUUUCUAUAUCCAGUACAAGAUUUAUUUUUGUUCCUCUCAAUCACAGUGUUCAAUAUUUGUUUGUAGUAAUCUGCAUUCCUUUUGACACAUUCUAAGAAGCUUAAAAAGGGGGGUGGGGAUUUCAUUAUUUGGCAAACCUUUAUUUCCCUUCCCCCCCCCCCCACCCGCAAUGUGUUUUUGGAUCAAGUUGACAUGAGCAUAAGUGUUUUUGUUUAGCAGCUACAAUUUUAACUUGCAUUCAUAGUGAUUCUUUGCAUGGCAGCAUGAUUGUCAGUACAGAUGUGGAAACAUUACUUGCUAGUUAAACAUUGCUGCAGAACCUGCAAAGCAAGAACAAAAUGUAGUUUUAUAGGUCCUAUAAAUUACCAUUGUUGUGGUUUUCAAGUUCUUGUUGAUGAGAGUAUGAGAUUUAGAAGUAAACAAAGAAUCUAAGCAAGAUUGAAUCUGGUGCCUAAAGCGUUUGACGUUGCCUUCUUAAAAAAUCCUAUCUUUAAAAGCCUACUAUAAAUUAUUAAUGUCAGAUAUCUGUUUUGUUGUCACCGUAUCCCACAGCUUUCCCUGGUGACAGCUGGAGGUGUUUAAUUUCACUCAAAGAUCCUGUGAACCAUUUGUUUAUGCAUCAUUUUUCUAUAACAGACAUUUUUUACUAAUUAGGAGCAACCUCGUAUCAGUUAACUUGGGUCUUAAAACCAUGAUUUAAAAAAAUCCCACGAUGUCAUUUAUAGGAAUUUCUGUGCAAUGACAAAUGGUCUCCAAACACAUGGGCAGAAGAAGAAAGGGCCUUAAGGAGGUUCACCACCAAAUUUCAUACAAGUCUGUAAACUGAAUAAAUAUAACAGUACCUAAGGAUUGAUUGCAAAAAGGAAUAGCUUAGUGUGCUCCUUGAGUGUCUGUUGGGGUAACUGCUUUUCUGUAAAGGAUAAAAAGGAUUUUAGGAGGAGAUACCUUGAGGCUUAAACUGUCACCAUAUGGAGUGGAAUUACAUGCAGGUUCUUAAAUGUUUGUUUUUCUUUGUCAGUUACAAAGUAUAUAAAAUACGCUAUCUCUUUGUGUGAACUAAGUAUGAGCUAGUUCACCUGAUGGAUGAUACUGUGGGGGAAGAAGGGUAAAUUGAAUGGGCCAAAGUGGUCCCUGAUAUAACUCCAUUGAAGUCACUGAAGUUAAGUCAUGGAUAAAUUUCUCCCAACACUAACAAGUGAUUUUUUCCUUUGUUUGUUGUUUUAAACUUAUAAUUAGAAAUGGACCUGAACAGAAACCCAGAUCCAAACAACCCUGAAAUUUGGGAGAGUCCAGAGCCAAACUUCAUGACUAGCUCCUGUUCAACUAAUGGAAUGAACCAAAAUUGCAGAUUGACACAUCCCUAUACUUGAAGCAUGUUCUAAUGUCUGUUUCAACUCUGCAGCUUGACCCCAUGUCAACUUGUAGAUGAAAAUUCAGCAUGGAGAGAUAAAAAUAAAAAGCUCUGACUACAGGCGAGAGAACAAUAUUUGUGUCCCAUUCUGAGGAUUUUGAGAGAGUCUCUGUCAGCAAUAAUAGCUUCCUCCAGACACACACCCGGUAAGAGGAGUCCAGUAACAUGAGCCCUUUCAAAAGUCUUCCAAUAUCCCAAAAUGACUAGCUCCUAAAUUGUCGUCAUGGAGGAUUAACCCAGUACCCCACGCACAGCUGGAUUGACACUGAAAGCAGAGCUGCUCAUUUGCACACUCCCCCAUGCACAAGUUGCCCAUGACCCCAGCAGGCAGUUUCUGUCUUAGGUAAGUGGAACCCUAUUGGGUCACUCUACCUCCACAGCAUUGUCAAACAUUUUAGUUUCUUAGUCCUUCACUUCUGUGAGGUGCUGGAGACCCUAUAUGCUGCUCUUCGAAAUACUUCUGGCCAACUGAACAGGAAAUGCUGCUGGAUUCCAGAUAAUCCAGACCCUCCUAUGCUGGGAUGGCUGAUCACUACACUACCUUGCUUUUGAAUAGGUGUGGAUUUAAAGAGGAAAAUGUAGUAGAAAAGAAGCUUUCAGGGCUCCAAGAGUAACUUGCAACCCCCCAAACUUCCUGUAAUAAAAAUUUAGUCAUAUAAUCUUGUUACAAGAAAAGAGGAAAUGUUACGUAACAGUUGCAUACAUCUGCAUGAGCUUAAUACGUACAAGUAGAGUUGAGUGCCACCACAACAUUAAUUUGAUGUGCUCCCUAAACACUUAGAGAUGGGUAAGGGUUUGUUUUUAUAUUCCUGUGCUUAAAUGAGUUGCGGAAACUAUUUUUUAAUAUGAAGCCCACAGGAGCAGAAGGGGCUUAUCAGUCAAUGGCUGAAGCAACAUUGCCUUUUGAUGACAGCAUGAGGAUGUCCUGAGUCCCCGUGAAGAGUUAACAGUAGCAAGCCAUCAACUGGAUGACACAUCCUUAACUAAUUGUAAAUGGGGAAUCAUCAUCCCGUGGAGGUGUUUCUAGUGGGGCCCCCCUCAUUAAAUCUGUUUUUGUUCCAAUCCUGUUUAAUAUCUCUAUCGACAACUUGGAAGAAAACUUAUCAUGCCUGGUAAAACAGACCACAAACAGUGGACGGGUAAAUGACAGUUCAGUUCUACAGAGCAAUCUGUCGAACAACAUGCACUUUAAUACAAUUAAAUGUAAGGUUUAUAUAUAGUAGAAACCAGAAUGUAGGUCACCAAAGGUGGAGGACUGUAUUUUGGAAAGCAGUGACUCCACAGGGCUUUGUGUUAUGGGGAUAACCAGUUGAACGUGAGCUGACAAUAUGAUGCAACUGGCUAAGAGAGAAAAGGCAAUAAACUUAUUUGUAUAAGUAGGGGAAUACUGAGUAGAAGUAGGGAGAUGUUACCUCUACUGCAUGUGUCAGUGCUGAGACAGUUACUAGAAGACUGUGUUCACUUCUCACCUUCUGCUCUUUAAAGACGUUUACUCCUUGGGGGAUUCUGUGUGACUGCGUGCCCACAGAAAACAGGGCCCAACCUUAAAGUGAAAGAGAAGGGCUCACAAUCUAAUUAGCUUAACAAAGAGAAGGUUUAAGAGGUGACUUGAUCAUGGUCCAAAGCUAUGUCUACACUACCACCUAUGACGGCAAAACUUAUGUCACUCGGACAUAAGCGACAGAAGUUACACUGAUAUAAGUGCUAGUGUGCACAGCUCUAUGGUGGUGGGAGAGCUUCUCUUGCUGACAUAACUUAUGCUGCUCC